GACGAACGCUGGCGGCGUGCUUAACACAUGCAAGUCGAGCGGUAAGGCCCUUCGGGUACACGAGCGGCGAACGGGUGAGUAACACGUGGGUGACCUGCCCUUCACUCUGGGAUAAGCCUGGGAAACUGGGUCUAAUACCGGAUAUGACCUGCUCUCGCAUGGGGGUUGGUGGAAAGUCAGUAUUGUAGUGAUGCUGGCGGUGGGGGAUGGGCCCGCGGUCUAUCAGCUUGUUGGG
rnacentral:rRNA from 1 species